AAUUCCUCUUCCUCUUUUUGGGUGGAACCGCUAGGCCUCUCCAGUUUUCAACAGCGUCUUCAUCUUUUUGAAGGAUGUUUGUAACAUUGUCAGAUUUCCCAGAACAGGAAGCAUCCAUUUCUGGUUUUCCAUCAACACUGCAAGUUGUGAACAAAUUUGCAUGUUGCCUUCAAUGAAGGACAGAUGUCGAGCAAUUAAUCGAUCCACCCGAAUAGGCAAGUUUUCACGCUUGAAAAGGCCAUGUUUGAUGUUUUUGAACUCUGCUUCAACAUUGGCUGAACUUGCGGUGAUGUUGGUGCUUCGAAAGUGAGGGAUCAUUACCCCUGUCCAGAGUGGUCUGUCUGUGUUUGGUCACAUGUAUCCACUUCCAGGUCCUCACCCUCUACAUCUGGAAUGAUGACACACUUUUCUGCAGUUCGGGCUUUCAGUCCCACUGGCUGAUCAUCUUGAUGCAGUGUGCAACAUCAACCCGAACAAAACAAGGUGGCACUUUUGCUGACUGUUUACCGAGUA